rnacentral:rRNA from 1 species
AGGUCUAGCCUGCCCAAUGAGGGUUUAAAUGGCCGCAGUAUUUUGACUGUGCAAAGGUAGCAUAAUUAUUAGUUUUUUAAUUAAAAGCUUGUAUGAAGGGUUGGACGAGAUAAAAUCUGUCUUUAUUUAAAUUAGAAUAUAAUUUAACUUUUAAGUCAAAAGGCUUAGAUUUUUAUAAAAGACGAGAAGACCCUAUAGAUCUUUAUUUAAUUAUUAUUUUAAUAAUUUAGGAUUAUUUUAGUUUAAAAUUUUAAUUGAAUUUUAUUGGGGUAAUAUAAAGAUUAAAGUAAUUCUUUUUAUUUAUUACAUAAAUUUAUGAAUUUGUGAUCCAAUAUUAUUGAUUAUAAGAUUAAGUUACCUUAGGGAUAACAGCGUAAUUUUUUUGGAGAGCUCAUAUCGAUAAAAAAGUUUGCGACCUCGAUGUUGGAUUAAAAAUUAUCUUGGGUGCAGAAGCUCAAGAUUUUGGUCUGUUCGACCAUUAAAUUUUUACAUGAUCUGAGUUCAGACCGGCGUAAGCCAGGUCGGUUUCUAUCUUUAUUUGAUUAGAAUAUUUUAGUACGAAAGGACCAAAUAUUUAAUAUAAUAAUAUUUUAUUUUUGAAUAAUAUUAUUACUUUGGCAGAAUAGUGCAAUGAAUUUAGAAUUCAUGUAUGUAAUUUUAUUACAAGUAAUACUUGUAUUUAGGAGACUUAUUAUUAAUAGUUAUGUGUAUACUAGUUCUAGUAGUUUGUGUAUUGGUGGGGGUGGCUUUUUUAACUCUUUUAGAGCGUAAGGUAUU